rnacentral:rRNA from 1 species
AGUGAACGCUGGCGGUAGGCCUAACACAUGCAAGUCGAACGGCAGAGCCGUAAGUGCUUGGUCUUACGGGUGGCAAGUGGCGGGUGAGAGGGGAGUAACUCGGCAUUUACUUUUUGGUGAGGGAUGGCGUCGGGGAAUAAACGCUAAUACCGCAUCCUACCUCCGGGUGAAAGCUGGGAAUCUUCAUCUCUUUCGGGAUUGAAUGAGCCCGCGGCGUAUUAGCUUGUUGUUGGGGCAAUGGCUCACCACGGCGACGAUCCGUCCCUGGACGGAGAGGGUGACCGGCCACACUGGGACUGAGACACGGCCCAGACUGCUACGGGAGGCAGCAGUGGGGAAUAUUGCACCAUGGGCGAAAGCCUGAUGCAGCGACGCCGCGUGAGGGAUAACGGCCUUCGGGUUGUAAACCUCUUUCAGUAGGGAAGCAGCGAAAGUGACGGUACCUGAAGAAGAAGCACCGGCUAACUACGUG